ensembl:snRNA U7 U7 small nuclear RNA
CAGGGGUAGAGCUCUUUUAGAUUUUGUCUAGCAAGUUCUCUGGUCUCCCACCAAGAAACCCCC